rnacentral:tRNA from 1 species
GCCUUGGUGGCCUAGUGGUUAAGAGCUUGGCUGCUAACCAAAAGGUUGGCGGUUCGAAUCCACCAGGCA